CAGCCAGCUGGCACGUGUUGGUGACAACAGAACACGCUAUGCCAAAGACACCAUGGCAAGGCCUUGUGGUUGCUGGAAGUGUGUGAUAUCAGCAACACUCCAGAGAACAAACAGGAGCAGUGCUUCCAGUGGCUCUGCUGGAACAUUCUGAUGCCAUUAGCUAGUGGGUUUGUGGCCUUUCUAACCUGUAAGAACAAUUGGUCGCAUCAAGCUGGCAGAAAAACAUGCCACUGGUGCCAGGCACCACAGCAUCCAAUCCUGUGCCUCACUCAUUAAAUAAUACAUUUUGCUUAAAUCUGAUUGCAGGGAGAAAGGAGUCGUGAUUUCUGUGUUUCUUUCCACAUGAACAGCUUGGAUUUGUGGUACAAACAUUUUGCCAAUCAUGGCAUGGAAGAGAAAUCCAUGCUCUGGUGAAGUCUAAUCCUGUCUUUGAAUUUCAAAUUCCUUUCUUGUUUUUAUCUAUAGGAACUAUAGAUAUAAAUUACUAUAGAAUUAUAAGAAAAUACUUUUUUAAUGAAUAAAAUCUAUUUUUCUGUCUUCAUGUCUUUAGCCAGAUAAGCUUUGUCUUCUUCCACCCUGCUUUGGCAGGCAGAGUUGCCAAAGAGUAGUCAAGUCUGUCUGGAUCACAGCUUCUUACUUUGAGCAACCUUUGCUUAUCUCAGGGGCUGGUUAUAGCCACAAAGAGGCUUAAAAUGUGCUGCAGCAGGAGGACUGGGCUCAAAAUGUUAACCGGACUCAGACUGUUGACUCUUUUGGUGAGAAGAACCCCAAAAUAUGGAAACUUGGCUCCACUGAAGUCACUUCUCUAUGGUCAGGACUUCCUACAAGGACUCUCCACCUCCUUACUCCUAAAAGUAGCACUGCAGAGCAGGUACAGCUGAGCUGAGUUUAAUUGUCUCAGGCAGCCAUCCUCGAAUGAGUGAGUAAGGAGCAGUGGCAGGAUCUUUACUAUUGCUGCUGUUAUGUGAGCCACAGAGAACACAGCCUGACUCAAUUCUCCAGUUGCUUCUGCAGAAAAAAAGCAGUAAAAAAGAGUGAUAUUUUUAAACAAGGUUUUGUUCUUGCAAGCUGAACAAUUCAACACAGAACAGAGUAUGUGUGGAAAACUUCCAACACUACUCUUAUUGUCAGUUCUCAGUUUUUAAGUUUACUGUAAGGUCCAGGCUGCCAAGAUGUUUAACAGACCUGGAGAAGGCACUUACAGUUGCUAGAAUGUUAAUAUAUUUGUUGUUUUGUCCCAUGUAUCCAUUUUCUUUCAAUCUCUUCUUGAUUUGGGGAAUUUUUGCAGAACGAAAAAAAAAAAAAAAAGGAAGCCUCCAGGUUUUAGUAUUGAAGGAAAAACACCCUCUGCUUACCAUUUAAAAUAUAUGAAUCUGAAAUUAAUUUCUUUGCCUAAAAUAGUCUUGAAGUUUUACUAGUGCCAUUUGAAGAGAAAUUUGCCUUAGAACACUGAGUAUAUGAAAACCACACAUUUCUCUUGGGGUGUUAUUGCAACAUUUCGUGUUGUGCCAGAGAAGGUUGUACUGUAUUCCUGUUCAUUGGAAUCACCUGUAAUUUGUAGAUGGCAGAGAACGUGGAAAAUACUAUCAGGUGCUGCUGACCUUUUGGCUGCAGCCAGGCAGGAUGGACAGAGAUGAACAUAGCUCGAGAUAACCUGGUUUAGCAUGAAGGGCUUGGAAAUUGAAACACUAAUCUUCCAGAAAAUAAAAGGGAAGGACCAGAAGCAGAAAAGGAUCUCCUAGUUCUCACCAGCAAAACCUUUCCCCCAGUCCCCACCAGCUGAAUGUUGCAUGCCAGAGCGCAGUCUGGUUAUGCUGAGAGGGCACCCACAGAAAAGGUUUGUCUUUGCAGUUUCUCAUCCAAAACUGGACUGCAGUACUGUGUGUGACAUGGUGCCGAACAGUGGCAGUGCCAAACCUGCUGUCCCACAGCUCCCUCCAUUUUCAGCAGUACCUUCAUCUAGCAUCUCCUUGACUCUGGAUUCCUUUUUGUGUUUAAUUCUGGAAGAUGAGCUCUGAUCAGUACAUCUCCAGUUACAUCACUGCCAGACUGAUUUAGACAAUGAUCUGGACAAGAGAAUUAAAUCCUUUUGGCUACAUAAAGUUGAACUUGCAAGGUGGCCAACUAAGCAAAAGUUUAGUAAAUCCUGAGGUUUCUUUAGAGAAAAUAAAAAAAACAAUCUGGAAAAAAAUAUGCAGGCUACUGAAACAUGUGUAACCUCUCAGUUAUUGUAGGUCAGGAUGAUCUGGAAGUGUGGAGUGACAUGCUGGAAUCAGCAUUGCUUUGGUUUGCAUUAGUGAGUGAACAGACUCCAUAUUAAGCUUUGUCUUAGGUAUUCUGGAGAGUGUUGUUGACAGAUAUCAGUGUCAAGAGAGAUAACAGAGACACCAAAGAAGUACACAGGACUGAGAGGAGGAGCAGACAGCAAAAGCGCAGUGUCCUCAGCAGACAGAGACCUGCCUCUUCAGUCACUUAAAGAAACAUAUCUAUGAAGGGAGAUGAGGUGAUGAUUUCCUGCAGCCUUUCCAGUCUAUUUUCAGAGCAAGUAUUUUCAUAGGUGGAGGAGAUCCUUUCAGAUAAAUUUGUGGAAAACUGGAAAGAUUGUUGGAAUGUUCGGCAGUUUUGUGAUCCUGAGUGUAUAGGCAUGAUAAAUAGAAGUCCUACAGCUGUGUUGUCCCUCUUUGCCAGAUCAACAAUUUGGGAGGCAACUACAGCUGGAGAUAUUGAGUCUUUUGGUUUGCCUUAAGCAUAUCAGAAAGAGAAGACUGGUGGAAGAGAUUCUCCAUUCCUCUUGUGAUAACUUGUGACUUAUUUAGUCUCUGAAUGUUGGAAACUCUUUGAGUUUGACAUAAUUUCAGCAUUUCAGAGGAUGAAUGAGAAGCUUGGUGUGACCAGUCUGGGAAAACGCUGGGCACGGAGACUGUGCUCCAGCAAAAUGCAGGGAGCUGUGGGUGUGACGCUUUCUGAUUCUGUCGGGGUGAACACGGAGCACAUUUGCAUCUUUGCAUUAUUAAGCUGUGGCACUGCUGAAAAGUGCAGAUUUUCUGCCAAGCGAGAUGUGCAACGCCAUAGAUGGAAUACAGAGGAAGGAGGCACUUGAUAUGUUCAGUUACAAGUGGAAUGUUUUACCACAGCAGAAUCAGCACAGCUCAUGGUUCAGGACCUGGAUUUGAAUGUUCUCAGAGGAUCAGGAGCUGUGACACAUCUGACAGCUGUGACUGCUGCAGGCCACAGCCACACCCCCAUGGCACUUGGGGUACCAGUACUGGUGCCCAGGCUACACACAGGGUGCAAGAAGGAAAAGUAUUAUGAACAUUCCUCCAGAGGGAAAAAGCAUGGAAGUGAUUUACUUGGGAUCCUGAAGGAUAAUAAAGUUUUGUAAUCAGCUUGAAGACCAAACCAACAAAUAUGCCUAGAAUACAACUGCUGAUGAAGUAACAGGCUGAAGGACAGAGAGAUACAACAGGCAGCAACUCUUAAAGACAGUAGCACCAGAAGCUACUGAACAGGAGGGUGUCCAAGAAGCACCUAGGCUCUGCUCCAUGAGGUCCAGCAUGGCACAAGAGGAACAGACAGGAACUGAUGCCCAGGAAGUUCCACCUGAACACGAGGAAGCAAUUAUUUCCUGAGCACUGGAACAGACUGCCCUGAGAGGGCAGUCCUGCUGCCUGGGACAGACAGCCCCGUCCUGCUGGAACAAGAGUGUUGGAGCAGAGGAGGCACUGUAGUCCCUCCCAUCCAGAGCCGUUCUGGAAUUCUGUGUGGGACAUGUUAGUGAAGGAGGAUGCCCAACACAGCUCCUUUUCCAAAGAGCACCUUAGUAUCUCUGGCUUGGCUGACCUGGCUUUUCUUGGAACUGAGGAAGUAGGUGCAGACCCCACCUUUGCACCCCUGGACUUGUAUAACUUUUAAUGAAGUUCAAAAUCAGAAAGAUGGUAACUGCAGCUGUGUUAAGGACCCUGGGAUAACAUCACCAUUGUGUGCGACUUCACUCUGAUGAAAGUGCUCAUAGUUGAGACUGUUGUCACCAACAUUACUAUUGUGGCUGAUUCUCCCCAGCUUUGAUUGGAUUUGUGCAGCCAGAUUUCUUUAUCACUGCUAUUAAGCAUUUGAUCUGGUGUUUCAGUCUAUACAUAGCUAGAAAUUGAAAUAUUUUGACUUUAGCUCCAGAACUUCCCCAUUUCAAAUAUUCUUGUUGAUUCUGAGUUCAACAAAGAACACACAGUGAUGGGAAGCCUGAACAGCACUUGCAUUUUCACAAUGAUAACGGAUGCAGAGCUAGCUUGUGAUCACGCUCAUUACUAUCUUGUUAUCAAAGCAAGAAGCAGAUGGUAUGACCUGGUAAGGAAUUUUCAAGGGUUUGACAGUGAAGAAAAUGGCACUAUACAGCCAAGGGACUUGAAAAAGUUCUCAUUCCCACUUGGCAUUCCAAUCACCCUGGAAGGAUUGAAGCAGCUUUGGACAAGGGAUAAAUACAGGGAUUACUUCCAAGAUUUCAAUAACACCUUUCAUAAAGGAUAAAAAUAGAGAUGGCUAUGUAAAAAUAUGUGGCCUGAACAAGACAUUACAAGAAUUCAAGCCUUAUCUUGAUGAUAAUGAUUUCAGCAGUUUUCUAACAGCUUAGGAAUCAGCAUUCAUGACAGCAAGCUCUCUUAUUUUGAUUUCCUGAGCGCAAUUGAGGAUGGCAGAGCAUCUGAAUACCAGCAGAAACAAAAGCAGUCUGCACCACCUGCAAGCUUUGCAGAGCUCAGUAUAGAACAAACCCUAAUAAAGAUAAAUGAAACAGUUACAUCAUCUUAGAAUUUGUUGUAUAAGGUAAGUUUCAUCCUACUUAAUGGUUUGGGUUUUUUUCUGCCUGGCUGGGUACUACCCCAAAGGCUUCAAAAUUUUCUGCUAUUGAGUGCUACCAACAACCUUGACCUAUGUUGACCUAUGUAGAAAUAUUAUCUUCUGACAACUUCAGGCUUCUUAAUUGAUUGUAUUCUGGUAAUUCCACAAAGCAAACAUAUUAAAUCAAGCCUAGAGGCUUUGUGACAGUAAGAUUUAAAAAGGAAAAAGCAAACAGCAAAUUAUCAGGAACUUC